CAAGCCCACGUCCAACCGCGACGGAUGCCGGUUGGGCUCAAGAGACGCCAGGCAGGUGGGACUGGAGUUGUCAUGGAAGGGGCAGGGCGCAGGGCGGAACCAUUGCUCGCGGAGCUGGCGUCGAGUCGGAACCUCGGACUGCAGGAAGUGGGAGCACCGCGGUUUCGGGGAAGAGACCGGGGUUGAGCGUCUAGCCCAUCUCUGCGUGACUUCCGCCAGCGUUUAGAGCGUUUUCGGGGUCCGAGUUGAAGAGCAAAACCAAGUGAAGGAAACUUCACUAAGUUCAGGGUGACAAGGGAGGAAGUACAGAGACUGCACUUUAAAUUCUGGAUGACAGACCUAUCAGGACUGAGUGGACCUUUGAGUGACAAGAUGGGGGUGUUCCAAAGAGACCAUGGCAGCCUGCAGCUAGGACUUUAAUGCAAGUGGUGAUGCUGUGAUAUCUAGUGCUUUAAACAAAUCUCUUUUUUUAAGUGACAGGGUUUCCAAAUUGUUAUUUCUACUUUAACAGAUCAAUAGGGACAAAAAGUUGAUUCACUUGGUCUAAUGUGGUAGGAAUAGGUGAAAUACUAAGACUGGAUCCUACACUCUACUUCCCAUCAGGCACCCAUUCUUAUGAAUAGAGAUUCCAUAGGGGCCACACACAAUCCCAGUACUUUUUUCCCAGUUAAUUGAGAAAAUUAAAGCCAUCAUACAAUAUAUAACUUCCUCCCUCUCCACUUCUGUCAAUGCCACAUAUAUCCACCUGUCUUAUUUGUCUGUCUCAGAAAAUGAAAUGUACUUCCUCCACCAAUGUAUGACCACUGUUUCUUGUUCUAGACCUCUCUUUUGCAUUUGGUAUCAUUGAUUAAACCCUCCUUGAAACUCGUUUUGCAUUUCUCCCAUCUUUUUCUACCUGUCUCAUGCUUCUUGGGGGUCUUUUUUUCUCUGCCUACCCAUUAAAUAGUAUUUCCCAAAGUUCCAACCUUGAGUUGUUUUCUGUCUGUAUCUUCCCUGUGAGCACUGUCCACUCAUUGUUUUAACCUAUUUGCUCAUGGAUUCUAAAACUACUGCUAUUCCUGACCUGUUCCUUGAAGUUCCGACUUUCGGGAGGCUCACGAGCCCUUCAAACUCUAAUUUGUCCUUUGCUUUCAUUUGUACUCCCAAUUCUAUCUCAUCUCACUGCUUUCAGCCAUAACUACUACCACCCCCACCUACACCGCCAAAUCCAUCUUGUAAGUAGCAGCCAGAAUGACCAGUCUCAAAUGUAAAUCUAUUUCACUUGCCUCCUUAAAUUUCUAAUCUUCCUCUGCAGUCACCUUCAAGAUAGUCCAACUCCAUGGCCUGGUGUGCUAGGGUCUUCAUUAUCUUGCCACUGUUUUCCUUCCCAGUCUUGUUUCCCUUUCCAGUACCAUCUCCCAUCCUACCCACUUCGCAUUCAUGAGGCUGCUUUACACCUGAGACCUUUUGCAUUCUUGUUGACUUUGUCUGGACUAUCUUUAUUUUCUUUGGCUGACUCUUCCUUAUCCUUACUAAUUUUUUAGGGCUCUUGCAAGAAGCCUUUCCUUGUUCCAUAGUCUGAGUUAGUUGACUUUUCUCUCUGCUUUCUUGACAUUUGUGGGUUCAUUCAGAAAAUAUUCAUUGAACCCUUAUUUUGUGCCAGACACUGAGCUAGAUACUAGAAAUAUAAUAAUGAACAAGCAAAUAUGGCAAUAACCAAUCUAAUAAUUUCCUGACAGAGUUUACAUUCUCAUAGGGAAAAAAGAAAAAAAAAAAGGCAGUUCAGUCUUAUUGGCUCCAUGCUUGAUAAUAGCUAGGAAUUGAAAGGGUAAAAAACAAGUAUUCUAGAUAGAGGCUAACAAUGUUUAUGAAGAAGAACACAGUCUAGGAACUGAGAGAUUCUAGACAGGGGUGGAGAGGUAAACAGGGACCAGAUCAUGAAGAACAUUAGUGAUGAUGUCACAAAGUUUGGACUCCUUCUUAAGGCUAAUAGUAACUUUGAAUGGUUUCAACAUGAUUAGGUUAGUAUUUAGAUGAUGAAUCGCUACUCUGAGAAAAAGAACUCAAAGGGCAGCAAUACCAGCAAGAAGGAAACCAGUUAGGAGAUAAUUGUAGUAAUCCAGGGAAAGAAAGAUGGCAGUUUAUACUGGGGCAUUGCCAGUGUGGAUAGAAAUAGAUCUCAGAAGAAUUUUAGGAAGUAGAAGUGGCAAAACUUGGUGACUGAAUUGUGAGGGCAGAAGUGGGAGAAAUCAAGGAUAGAGUUUCUUAAACAAGCUUUGGUGAAGACAGGGACUACCCUAUUUGCUGUCAUGUAUCCACAGCUUAGCACAAAUCUUUAUACGCUGGAGAUGCUUGAUAAGUACGAGUGAAAUUUUCUGGCUUGAGUACCCAGAUAAAUGGGAUGCCAGUCUCUGAUUUAGGUAACACAGAGGCAGACUCACUUGGGAGGUAACUGGUGAUUCAGUUUUAAACAUGUCUAGCUCAACAUGCCUGUGAAACAUACACAUGACAAUGUCCAGAUACAUGGCAAUUGGAUGAAUGAUUCUGAAACUCAAAAAGAGAGGUCUGAGAUGGAUUCUUUGCAUACUUACAAAAAAAAAGUUUAUGUUAUAUUGAAAUGAUCUGUUUUGUGCCUGUCUCCACUAUUAUACAGGGCUGGUUCUUAAUGACCUUUGAUGCUCCAACACCUAACACCAUGCCUGGUACAAACUGCACACUCAAUUAGUAUUUGUUGUUGAACUGAACUCCUUUUGAGACAUGAUGCGUCUAACAAAGUAAUAGUAGUAGCCUCUGAGGAGGGAAACUAGCAGGUCAGAGUGAAAAAGAAAUUUUCUUUUUGUUGAAUAUAUUUUAGUUCUUUUUGCCUUUUCCUCCAAUGUAUUUCUAUUUCCUGAGAAAUAAAAAGAUGACAUAAAAAGUGUUCUAUUAGAUUUUUGUGGACUUAAUACCGAAAGCAAUAUUCCAACUAUGUUCUAGUCACUAUAGAGUGGAAUAUUAAAAUGCUAUCUGAUAUUAUAUCAUAUUAGCUUUUUUUUUUUUUGAGAUAGGGUCUCACUGUGUUGCCCAGGCUGGUGUCAUCAUAGCUUACUGCAGCCUCAAACUCCUGUGCUCAAGCACCACAUUACGUUAUUGAUUGGUUUACAAAUUCUAUGGUUGUAUUAUUGAUGCCAUCAUUCAAUUCACUUAUAUGAAUUAUGAACAGUAAUAGCAAGAUGAAGUGAAAUUAUGAACACACAUUUUAUAUUAAGGGCAUGAGACAAAAUCUUUGAAACUAUGUACUGUAUUAUGCGAUAUAUACAAAAUCUGCAAAAGCAAACAAGUGUCAUUGUUUUAUACCUGCCUAAUGUUUCAUAUGAGAGGAAAUAAUGAUACGUCUCUCCUAUCAGCCAACAUUUCUAGCUUGCUGACAUAGGUAGCAUUUAAUAUGCAAAACCCUUUAAUCACAAAUAUCAGAAAGCACAUCUUAACUGUAGUUAUAAAUGGGUAAGUAAAAAUGCGUAAUGCUUUUAUAUAUUUUUGAGUUAGUAUUGUAGUGUAUAAUUUUAUAUAAAUGGUUGAGGCCAUAGAUAUUUUGAAAGUACGCUAGUAUUUAAAGAAAAUGGUAAAUUCUAGUAACACUUUUGAAUAUACAGCAUAUUCACUGGGUGGCGCUGUUGCAUUAGUGUUAACCUUACAUAGUUUGAAAGUUUUAUUUCAUUUUCAUUCAUAAAAGUAAAUUAGAGUGAUAAACAUUGAACACAAUGUUCUGGAUGAAAAAAAUUAGAUUCUAAAUUUAUUGGCAUUAGAAUACAUGUUUAGAGCCCAGGGUUAAGAAGAAAAAUAGCGUUGAAUUCAAAAUAGCUAUCUGCUUUUUAUUACCCUUUCAUCAUUACAAGCCUGUUAAUCCACUUGACUUCUCAGCUGUGUUCAUCUUUAUUAGUGGAUUUCAGAACUGAGCUGUACAUUUGCAAUACAGUAUCUUUGUUAAGGACUCGCAUGGAAUUCUUAGUUUGGAACUAUAAAGUACCUAUUCUUUGCUAAUUUGUGAUGAGCUCUAAACAAGAUCCAAGGAAGCAAAAAGUUGCUAUAUUAAACUCUAACCUCUCUAGUAUCAUUUCCCCAACUUUCACAGCAAACUCUAUUAUUUUAAUAUAGUUAGUAUAGAGAACCUUAGGAAUUAUCAGCUGAAACAAAUUAGAUAUUCUUAAAAUUUUUUGGUCAAUGUGACUUUUUAAAAUUCAGUUUUCUUUUGUAGAGAUGGGGUCUCACUAUGUUGGCCAGGCUGAUCUCGAACUCCUGGCCUCAGGCAGUCCUACUGUCUUGGCCUCCCAAAGUGCUGGAAUUACAGGAAUGAGCCAACAUACCCGGCCUAACUUCAAUUUUUAUAUUCUGUAUAUUUUCAAUAUUAGUAUUACAAUAUCCAGUGCUAUUUUUCAGUUAUUUCAAAUGAGUUAAUGAGAUUCUCAGGAAAAAUACUGAUCUUAAUGUAGUC
rnacentral:lncRNA from 1 species